CUUACUAAUAUAAAUGAUAGCAAUAAUAUUAUUAAGUGAAAUUAAAGAUUUUAUGUUAUUAAGGAUAUACAUUAUAAACAAAAGUAUGAAAAAAUGUACAGGCCUCUUAUUAAAAGUAUUUUUUUUAAUUAAAUUUUUUUAAAUAUCGACACUGCUUGUAAAAAAUUCUGCAUACGCCACUGAUCUCUACUGUAUGCAUUCUCUCAAUAUUCCUCAUAGAAGCUUGCCUCAAGGAUUUUAUAUGCUAAAGACGGAAGUGUAAGUCUUUACAAUUUUCAAAAGCCUAAGAAAGGUAAGUACCUAAUCAGUUCUUCUUCUUGUUUUAGUAUGAAGAAACUUUGGUACAGAACUUGUAACUUAUGAUUAAGUGGAAGUUGGAAGAUUUUAGGGCUAAAUAUGAAAGUGGGCAGCUACGUGUCAUAUUUAACUCAUCAAUUUAAUAGAGUUAAAUGGUUAUACUGCCUUUAUUAGCAGUAUAAUUCUUUUAAGCACAUGUGCUAUGAAUUUUUUUGUAGAGAUCCUAGAUUUCGUUGAAGUGGAGGAAAAGAGAUUUAAUUUCAAGGCAGUGAGACAACUGAUCCAAGCUGAUCUCAGGGAGCAACCUAUACUAAAUGCACAGUUGCACAGACCCGAAUUCAACAUGCCUCAUGAGAUAAAAAAGCUACUGUGACCUAUUGGACAAUUGGCCACAAGAAUCGGACUAUACGUAAGUCUGGCAAGAAGUAUUUUUUGUAGGAAAUUUACUUUUUUCCCAUCAUUAAACCUGUUUUUAACCUUCUCACGAAUGUAAAGAUCUAAGGUUUUUUUGGCUUCCCUCAUAUUUUCCAAUGAAUUUCUCUAUUCUUAUGUUACCCAUUCCUUUUUCUAAUUGUUUCUUUUCAGGUUUCACGUGAAAUGGUUGUAUCAAGCCCCAAUGUGUUGGAGCUCCCAAGUUAAACUGAUUUUCCUUGAGACAAUACAUCAAGUUAUGCGGAAGGACCAACAAAAUUACCCAACAUCCCCAAGCCACACACAUGACCCACUUUAUGACAAGCUAAAUGGAGUUGUAUUUUAUGCUAGAAACUUCAAACAUCACUCCAAUUUUCGUCUCGCUACAGGGAUAGAUGUCUUUGGAGCGUGUAUUUCCUAAACUUUUAUCAGGCGUUUAUCUGGACUUAGUAGAGACACCAUUCAAGAAUGACGUAGUUUGGGAGGUAUAAGAGACAAAUGAAUGGACUAAGCCAACGGUUAAGGAGUAUCUUUUCAGGAAUCCUUCCUUGUUGUGCUUGGACUAGAGACCAGCUGCUUGGGAAUUGUUCAUUUAUUUGGAAGCUCAGAAGAAAAAAGUAUACAAUAGUAGCCAUUUUGCUUUCUGACUGAUGUGGCUGAUUAUGCUAUCGCUUUUGUCAACACUUUGUUAUGUUCUUGUUUGUUCUAGGAUUCUCUUAGUCACUUUGAGUUUUUUGCAUUAUUCUCCGGAACAUUUAGACGUAUUUUCUUUAUUGAUGUUGUAGAAUUCUAAACAUUCACUCACGCACAUAGUCGAAAAGUGACUAUUCCAA